GGAACACAUAGAAAAGGUGAUUUCAGAGCGGUGGUGCUAAAGAAAAUGAGAAGAACCAAGUUUUGGGGAGGAGCCGAUAGGAAAUAGAAGUAGGCCGCUGCAUGCUGAGAGGAUAUCAUGGAUUUGAAGUUUUCACCGGAGCUUUGAGAAGGCAUGAACUUGAAUUGUUUCUGAAAACACCGAAGCCCAGAGAAGACUGUUUAGGAAGACAAGAUGCAAGUUUUAUUUGAGGAUCUCAGCUUAUCUAUUGCCAAACCUACAGCUUUCCAAACCUACAAACUCUUCCUUUCAUAGAUGAAGCCAGAAAUCUUUCUGCAGGUAAUUUUCCUAUUUGUCCAAUUCUGGAAAUACGAUUCAAC
rnacentral:lncRNA from 1 species